rnacentral:lncRNA from 1 species
AUUGUACUUGUUUCCUCAAAUUCUAGCUCAAAUCACAUUAUAAAUACUGAUUUCUAUCACCAAUUGGUGGUCCAUAGGCAUCUUUAGCGUUUCCUGAAGAGUAAGGUUCGGUUGAUCUUCUUCAGAGUUAAGUUGUUCGACUGAGAGGUAAGGGAAGCUGGGAUGUUGGUGUUGUUCUAUUAAAAUUCUUGAAUGCAUGAUUUAGAUUUAUUUAGAACUUUGAAAGAAUGCAUGUGAAGAUGGUGUGUAGAAAUUUGAAUUUUUUUUGUUAAUAUGAAGAAUUGUGAUUUUGCCUAUUUGAGAAUAUGUUGGUGGUUUGUCUUGUUAUAAAUUUUGAAUUUGGAUGUUGAUGAACUGGCCUUGAUGCAAUGCUAUGAUGAUAUGGAGUGGAUGGAUGGAAUGGCUUCUGUUACACAGUCUAAAAGGAGAUAGUCCAUUCAAUUAUUGUAGUAUUAGGGCCUAUGAAGAGAACCAAAGUAGUCAAAAGUUGAAUUGGGGAUUUUAGGUUGUUCUAGCCAGUUUAGGUAGCCUAAGUAAGUCAAUUUUGACCUAUUAGAAGUGCUGAAAGUGUUAAAAACAGUUCUUAAGUAGUAGAUUUAGAAAUUUGUACCUAGGUUGAUGAAAUUGGAGAUUUUGAGUGUAAAACAAUGCAUAAUCACUAGAUGAUUAGGUUAGCAAGUGUUAGCAUCCAUUAGACAAGUUCAAUUCAUCAUAUAGAUUGAGUUUUGAGUGCUAGAAAUUCACCAAAAAGCCUAAAACGAAACUUAGGGGUGUAAGUUCUUCCAAAUCUGCAAAAUCUGCAGAAAAUUCUGCAGAAUCCACGCCUGGGCGCCCCUAAAGGGUGUCGGGCGCCCUUUUCUGCUGUUGUUUUUGUUUUUGAUAGUUUGUGGGGUUUCGGAUGUUCGUUUUGGACGUUCUUUAGGUCGUUCUGGGGGUUUUUGACCUUUCUGGAGCCAUUGGUGAGGGUCCCCAAGCUGUUUGAAUUACUUAAGUAUUGAUAACUAAAGAUUAUAAAUAAAUUUGUGUUAAUGAGUGAUGGUUCUGUGAAAGUAUGGAAUGCCUGAGUAUGUAUGAGUUGUUUUAUGACAUGGUUGAUGUUGUGUGAUGGUGUAUGAGUUUGGUAUGAGACAAUAUAGUAAGAAUGCACUUGAAUGACUAAGAAAUUUUAUGUUUGAUGAAUCAAAGUGGUUUAUGAGGUACAUUAUUGAUUCAAGAGGAAUAUCAUGUGAUUUAAAGUGGUCAGAUUGAAUAUGAAAUUAAGAUCUCUCGGUGAGAUCAGUUGGUGUAUUGAAUGUAUGUAAGAGGCUUCCACUAUGGGGGGUUAUCCCUAACACUCUAACGGUCUUUCAUUCUCACUUAGAAAGGAUUGACGCGUGUGGUGAGAGUAGUGGGAGGUCCUAGGGUAGGCGCUAUCACUGGAGGUCUAUUCCGCGGUAACGGACCAGCCUUAUGUGUGGUAGGGUGAAACCCCCCGGCAAUGGCUUUGCAAAGCAGUAGAGGCCACCACAAGUGCACAACCCGCCCAGCUCUAUAUACAUUCUUAGUCCGGAC